rnacentral:rRNA from 1 species
UCCAGACUCCUACGGAGGCAGCAGUGGGGAAUAUUGCACAAUGGGCGAAAGCCUGAUGCAGCAACGCCGCGUGAAGGAAGAAGGGUUUCGGCUCGUAAACUUCUAUCAACAGGGACGAAAGAAAUGACGGUACCUGAAUAAGAAGCCCCGGCUAACUACGUGCCAGCAGCCGCGGUAAUACGUAGGGGGCAAGCGUUAUCCGGACUUACUGGGUGUAAAGGGAGCGUAGACGGCAUGGCAAGCCAGAUGUGAAAUACCGGGGCUCAACCCCGGGACUGCAUUUGGAACUGUUAAGCUGGAGUGUCGGAGAGGCAGGCGGAAUUCCUAGUGUAGCGGUGAAAUGCGUAGAUAUUAGGAGGAACACCAGUGGCGAAGGCGGCCUGCUGGACGAUAACUGACGUUGAGGCUCGAAAGCGUGGGGAGCAAACAGGAUUAGAUACCCGGGUA